rnacentral:rRNA from 1 species
UACGUAGGGACCAAGCGUUGUUCGGAUUUACUGGGCGUAAAGGGCGCGUAGGCGGCAAUUCAAGUCAGUUGUGAAAUCUCCGAGCUUAACUCGGAACGGUCAACUGAUACUGUUUUGCUAGAGUACAGAAGGGGCAAUCGGAAUUCUUGGUGUAGCGGUGAAAUGCGUAGAUAUCAAGAGGAACACCUGAGGUGAAGACGGGUUGCUGGGGCUGAUACUGACGCUGAGGCGCGAAAGCUAGGGGUAGCAAACGGGG